AGUGAACGCUGGCGGUAGGCCUAACACAUGCAAGUCGAACGGCAGCACAGUAAGAGCUUGCUCUUACGGGUGGCGAGUGGCGGACGGGUGAGGAAUACAUCGGAAUCUACUUUUUCGUGGGGGAUAACGUAGGGAAACUUACGCUAAUACCGCAUACGACCUACGGGUGAAAGCAGGGGAUCUUCGGACCUUGCGCGAUUGAAUGAGCCGAUGUCGGAUUAGCUAGUUGGCGGGGUAAAGGCCCACCAAGGCGACGCUCCGUAGCUGGUCUGAGAGGAUGAUCAGCCACACUGGAACUGAGACACGGUCCAGACUCCUACGGGAGGCAGCAGUGGGGAAUAUUGGGCAAUGGGCGCAAGCCUGAUCCAGCCAUACCGCGCGAGUGAAGAAGGCCUUCGGGUUGUAAAGCCCUGUUGUUGGGAAAGAAAAGCAGCAGGUUAAUACGCGGCUAUUCUGACGGUACCCAAAGAAUAAGCACCGGCUAACUUCGUG
rnacentral:rRNA from 1 species